GAAAUGUUCGACUACAUAACCCCCCCCCCCCCCCCCCCCAAAACGUUAUCCUGUGCAGAUUCUCAAUGCUUACCGAUCCCCCAUUUCUCUAUCAAGAAUAAUAUUGAUAAUUCAGAUUAUGGCAAUGCAGCACUGCAUUUGCAUUUUGUUGUUAUUGGUGCACCACAGAUUUAUAAUUCAGAGAAAGGCGUCAAUCUCAGAAGUUCGAGCCAUUGAUUCAGAAGCCAUACACUCUUGCUUACUUUCACUAUGUCGCUUCUUUACAACUGUUAUCGAUUGUUUCUCUCUGUUUACUCUGAGGCACAUCCAACCAUAUCUAUAAGAAGAAACUGGCAACCACAAGUGCCGGAAACUGUAUAUGUGUGGUGAAGUGAGAUCGCUUCCAUAUGCCAUAUAUAUCCACUUCAACGGAGCUAUGUGGUUCGGUCUUUUUCUUUUUGACUUAUUUCAUAUAUUUUUCUAUUUCUAUUCAGUUUGGUUUUCUAGAGUUCCAAAUGCCCGCUUAAUUUGUGGAUUUUACACUUUAGAUAGCGGUUUGAUUAGCAUGUUUUUAGUUAUAGUAGUUUCUCAAAAUCAAGGCAAUUGAAAAUGUCUGAAAAAUAUUGUUGUUAUAAAUUAUUU